UGGGGAAUAUUGGACAAUGGGCGGAAGCCUGAUCCAGCCAUGCCGCGUGUGUGAAGAAGGCCUUUUGGUUGUAAUGCACUUUAAGCGAGGAGGAGGCUACUAGUACUAAUACUACUGGAUAGUGGACGUUACUCGCAGAAUAAGCACCGGCUAACUCUGUGCCAGCAGCCGCGGUAAUACAGAGGGUGCGAGCGUUAAUCGGAUUUACUGGGCGUAAAGCGUGCGUAGGCGGCUGAUUAAGUCGGAUGUGAAAUCCCUGAGCUUAACUUAGGAAUUGCAUUCGAUACUGGUCAGCUAGAGUAUGGGAGAGGAUGGUAGAAUUCCAGGUGUAGCGGUGAAAUGCGUAGAGAUCUGGAGGAAUACCGAUGGCGAAGGCAGCCAUCUGGCCUAAUACUGACGCUGAGGUACGAAAGCAUGGGGAGCAAACAGG
rnacentral:rRNA from 1 species